UAGCGGAGGAAAAGAAACCAACAGGGAUUGCCCCAGUAAUGGCGAAUGAAGCGGCAAGAGCCCAAAUUUGAAAUCGGGCAACCGAGUUGUAAUUUGGAGACGGGACACUAGAGAGGAGGAAGGCGAUUAAGUGCCUUGGAACAGGCUGCCGUAGAGGGUGAGAGCCCCGUGAAUCGCUGGAGACCGAUCAAUUAGUGCCCGCCGAAGAGUCGAGUUGUUUGGGAAUGCAGCUCUAAGUGGGUGGUAUAUUCCAUCUAAGGCUAAAUAUUAGCGAGAGACCGAUAGCAAACAAGUACAGUGAUGGAAAGAUGAAAAGAACUUUGGAAAGAGAGUGAAAUAGUACGUGAAAUUGUUGAAAGGGAAGGGUAUUUGAUCCGACAUGGUGUUUAGCAGCGGCCCGUUCCUCGUGGAUGGGUGCACCUGGUUUACACUGGGCCAGCAUCGGUUCUGGGAGCCAUAUACGGGGUUCGUGAAUGUGGCCCUUCGAUUCUGUCGGAGGGUGUUAUAGCGCGGACAUCUUGUGGCUAGCCGGGACCCGGGGACUGCGGUGAC
rnacentral:rRNA from 1 species